UAUACAAUUCAAGCAUUUUGCUGCAUACCAAAGGCAAACGGAUCUACUUGCAAUGUGAUAUCCUGGUGCGCUUUGACUUUAUCUUGUCGGUUGGCUAAGGCCACUUGAAGGUUGACUAGCCCGUGUUGUCAGGCUCUUGAGUGGGGUACUGUAGGGAUUCAUCAGAAGGUGUACCAUUAUGGGAGAACAGAGUCUUGCAAUUGGUUGUGGACACUUCCAAUGAUCUUACCAACCAAUAGCCAACUGAAAACAGCGUCCUGGAUCUGUAGCAUCAAACUUGUGUCAACUAGAUGCUUGAAACAACACAGAUCCUUGUGGGGGUCUAUCUUGUAGCCUGGAAUUUUCAAAAGUGUUAUGAUUCUUCUCCACUGAAGUCUCGAGAGAUUCACUUUCGAAGGUAAUGAUAGUAGUGGCGCAGACUUUUGAGGGACAAAGUCUAAUCAAGGACUGUCUUUCACACUUGCAUUCUGUGUUGAUCAAUGGUCAUCAGUCCAGUGAGAGAGAGGUUCAUGUGCAUCUUAGUUUUUGCAGUUUUGGACAUAAAUA
rnacentral:lncRNA from 1 species